UGAAUAAUGAAAUAAUAAACCGAAUUACCAAAGGAAUGAAUGUGAUUGCCGAACCGAAAUGCAUCAUGGGGAUGUAAACAAGAUAAUCCGCCAAAAUGGGAGAACAAAGACAAAGGGAGAAAAGCCUGUAGAUAAAGGGAAAUACUGACCCCAGGAUCAUGAGCAUGGGGCCCAGGCUAUGCCGAACUUGUAUAUGGCCUACUUGCAUUGAACGAUUGGUGCUAGAUGUAAACGGUGUACACACUUAGUGCCUAGAGAGUCUAAGACAUGUAGUGGGCUCAAUGUUUCUGCGACUUGUGACUGAGUGCCAACUUGCAUCAACCUAAUGUGUCGUUAUUUCAUCAAGGGCGGAUCUAAAUUCUCAAAGUUGCAGGCAAUGAGGCUCCCUGAGAGCAACCAAUGCCCUCUGACAGAAGAUGUAUACCAGAACUCACAUUGGAGAUACUUGAUAGCAGAAGCUUUGAAUAAGAGUUGCCUUGGAGAUGAUUAUUGACGAAAUACCUAGUUUUUUGAAAAAACAAUGCUUUAUAGGAAAUACGGAACUUAUAUUAAGUCACAUUAGCACUAUAUUGUACCUUUUUGUUAGACACUAGACAAUUUUUCAGAACACUUGUUUUUUGUGAAGUGAAACACUAAUAUACGUUCAUGUGAAGUUCAUCGCGAAUGAUCAUCUGACAUAUUCUGAUAUACUCGAUAUUUAACAAUUGUUUCUGUUGAGUCUUUUAAAUUAUAUUUACAACAACAGAAAUCUCAUAAAAUAAAUUCACGACCCAGUGAUCGAACCACUAGACUGUUACAAUGAUAUGUAUUUUUGCUAUGCAUACAUUAUGUGAUAUUAUGUUUAUGGAUUCCUGUAUUGUUGGAAACACAGUUGGCAGUCUAGAAAAAAAAUAUUUUUAUGCAUAAAUGAUUCGGGCAAGGACAACAUAUAUUCACAAACGCGAUUCAUUUACUUAACGUAAGGCACUGUUUUGACUUUAUCACGGCAUCAUGUACAUGGUGCCACUUUGUAAAGUCAGCACACACUUUUUCAAGUGUGAAGCUUGACACAUAGAGCACAUGGUAUUGAUACAGCCGCUUCAUCACCAAAUACACAAUACCGCUUUGUGAAGUCAGCACACACUUUUUCAAGUGUGAUGCUUGACACAUAGAGCACAUGGUAUUGACACAGCCACUUCAUUACCAAAUACACAAUACCGCUUUGUGAAGUCAGCACACACUUUUUCAAGUGUGAAGCUUGACACAUAGAGCACAUGGUAUUGACACAGCCACUUCAUCACCAAAUGCAUGAUACCACUUUGUGAAAUCAGCACACAUUUGUUCAAGUGUGAAGCUUGACACAUAAAGCACAUGGUAUUGACACAGCCACUUUUCACCAAAUACACAAUACCGCUUUGUGAAGUCAGCACACAUUUGUUCAAGUGUGAAGCUUGACACAUAAACACAUUAAAUUUAUCCAAUAUACAUGUUGAUAAAUAUUCAUAAUUUUUGUUUUUAAAUUCUAACAUAACGUGUCCACCUUCAUGAUUAUGUUCUUUAAUGGCACACUUUUUCAUGUAGUGCGUUUUUGUUAUUUUAUCUUCCAAAGCUGCAAUGUACAAAUAUUAUUUCUAUUUUAUAAAAAAAAAAUAUAUUUUACCUGGUAUUUGUAUAAUUCAUAUUCAAAUUUAGUAUUCAAGUUUAAAAAUUUCCUGCUAAUUUUUGUAAUUGUCACAAAAGCAUGAAUUAAUCUUUGUUAUGUUGUUUCACCAUUUUGAAUUCUGUUGUUUUAUUGAAUAUAUGUACUAAGUAAAGAUACAAUGUUCAAAUAAUUGACAUGAAAUUGGUGUAAAGUAAAUGUAUACUAUGUUCAAAUAAUAGACAUGAAAUGGGUUUGCGAAUUAUGUGUUCAAUUUAGAAAUAUUAACGGAGUUGAAGAUGCGCAAGUAAAUAAUAACACUGGUGUAUUGGAAAUUGAAAUAGGUGGAUAGGGUGAAAGUGGUGUUAUCUAUAUAAACAUGGCGUGAUAUCUAGUUCAUAGUUAUCCCCUCACAAUUCAUUGCGAGAGGGGAUAUAGCGGGUGAGUGUAUGACAAACACUGAUCUUGUAGACAUCUACAAGAUAUAUUGUUUGCUCGAUUGAUUUGAUACUUCAAAUGUAGCUUUAUAAUCAAGAGACUUUAAAAAUCUUUUUCUCAAGAACCAAUGAGCCAGAAGAGCUGAGAUUUACACAAAAGCUUCCUGACAUAGUGCAG